GGAUGUGUGCCCGAGAUUUAGGGGUUACUUUGAUAGAGAAAACCACAGGGACUUAUUAAACCCUCACCUCCU
rnacentral:tRNA from 1 species